rnacentral:rRNA from 1 species
UGGCUCAGAUUGAACGCUGGCGGCAGGCCUAACACAUGCAAGUCGAGCGGUAGCACAGAGAGCUUGCUCUCGGGUGACGAGCGGCGGACGGGUGAGUAAUGUCUGGGAAACUGCCUGAUGGAGGGGGAUAACUACUGGAAACGGUAGCUAAUACCGCAUAACGUCGCAAGACCAAAGUGGGGGACCUUCGGGCCUCAUGCCAUCAGAUGUGCCCAGAUGGGAUUAGCUAGUAGGUGGGGUAAUGGCUCACCUAGGCGACGAUCCCUAGCUGGUCUGAGAGGAUGACCAGCCACACUGGAACUGAGACACGGUCCAGACUCCUACGGGAGGCAGCAGUGGGGAAUAUUGCACAAUGGGCGCAAGCCUGAUGCAGCCAUGCCGCGUGUAUGAAGAAGGCCUUCGGGUUGUAAAGUACUUUCAGCGAGGAGGAAGGCAUUAAGGUUAAUAACCUUGGUGAUUGACGUUACUCGCAGAAGAAGCACCGGCUAACUCCGUGCCAGCAGCCGCGGUAAUACGGAGGGUGCAAGCGUUAAUCGGAAUUACUGGGCGUAAAGCGCACGCAGGCGGUCUGUCAAGUCGGAUGUGAAAUCCCCGGGCUCAACCUGGGAACUGCAUUCGAAACUGGCAGGCUAGAGUCUUGUAGAGGGGGGUAGAAUUCCAGGUGUAGCGGUGAAAUGCGUAGAGAUCUGGAGGAAUACCGGUGGCGAAGGCGGCCCCCUGGACAAAGACUGACGC